rnacentral:rRNA from 1 species
AGAUUAAGUUAUUAAGGGCGCACGGUGAAUGCCUUGGCACUAGAAGCCGAUGAAGGACGUUACUAACGACGAUAUGCUUUGGGGAGCUGUAAGUAAGCUAUGAUCCAGAGAUUUCCGAAUGGGG